GGCUCCACCCCCACGGACCUAGGUGAGGACAGGCACUCCUGCUUUCGCUCCCAAAUGUUGCAUUUUCCAAGACCACCCUGUCCCGUCAUGCCCUCAUCCUGGGCCUAUAAAAACCAGAGACCCUAGCGGGCACACAGGCAGCCAGAUAUUGAGAGGAACACUUUGGCGGAAGAAGACACGAGUGGCUGGUCGAGAGCACGCUGGAGGAAGAGCCCACCGACAGACGUCAGCAUGCUGGCACACCAUCAACAGGCCUGGCAGAUAUUCGUAAACCACAAUCCUUGCAUCAGGAAUCCUACAGGCUAGUGUGAAGUGAGACAGAUAAACAGAUAAUGUUAUUUGUUUGGCAGUAACACCUAACCACAACGGGCACAUCGGAGUUGAACUUGGUGCUUCUGAGAAGCUAAUUUUAAGUUCCUGUGCAUGGUCUGAACAUUUGCCGGGCCCUAAAACUGCAUCUCAAUAUUGGCAGCCCCUUCCAAGUCUCCGGAAGGUAUUUUGAUUCAAAGGAAGCUCUGUUUGGACCGGAUGGUCUGGUGCUGGCCAUUUUCAUUGCACAGUGAGGCAUAAACUGUGCUAAGAGACUCGGGACAGACUGAGCAGUGAUGAGAGCACCAGCAGGGCCAGAGCACUGCAGACCCCCUUCAAGAUGAAAGCAAGAGAAUUUGAAAAGUCUAGAAAGAAGCUAUUUUGCAUUUAUCAGCCCUUUCUAGUUUGCAGAGCUCUCUGAACAUUCAGCUCAUUUCGUCCUCCUGCCACCUGGCCCUGGGAGCUGCAGCUGCAUCUAUGAUGCCCAUCUAGACUCCACCAGGCUGCAGCGCCACCUGUCUGCAGAACAGAGCUGCAGAGAUGACUACCACUGAUAAGAAUGCAUCUGUGACCACCUAGGGAUGCCCAUUCUGUCCCAGACACUGCGCUAGCACUUGAUGCACACAUGACCUCAUUUUCUUCACAACUACCAUAUAAGAUGGGGGUCUCAUCAGGUUGCACAAGCUGAUCUCAAACGCCUGGCCUCAAGUGAUCCUUCUGCUUUGGUCUUCCAAGGUGCUAGGAUUACAGGUAUGAGCAAUGGCACCCAGCCCCUUGUUUUUAUAAAAAAGGUUCAUGUGACUCAUUCUAAUCAGUUUACUUCCAGGAAACAGAAAGAAGAUUCAGUGGCUUCCAAGGAGUCUAAUUUUUGGCUGCUAGCAGCCUUCUAUGUCACAGAUGUACUCUGGAUGCCAGGGACAUCUCCCUGUCCUGGGUAGCUUGUCUUCACUGUAGUGCACUGGGGAAGCAGCACCUGCUUGAGCUGGGAGGUGAAAAGUCUCAGAGCCUGACGGGCAAGGCUCUGUCCU
rnacentral:lncRNA from 10 species